rnacentral:hammerhead_ribozyme from 1 species
AUCCAGCUGACGAGUUUCAAAUAGGACGAAACGCGAGUCCUGGAU